rnacentral:rRNA from 1 species
CAAGCGGUGGAGCAUAUGGCUUAAUUCGAUGCAACGCGAAGAACCUUACCAGGGCUUGACAUGCACCUGCAAUCCCCCGAAACGGGGCCGCCUUCCAGGGUGGUGCACAGGUGGUGCAUGGCUGUCGUCAGCUCGUGUUGUGAAAUGUUGGGUUAAGUCCCGCAACGAGCGCAACUCUCAUGUUUUGUUACCAGCGGAUAAUGCCGGGGACUCGAGACAAACUGCCUCUGUAAAGAGGAGGAAGGUGGGAACGACGUCAAGUCAUCAUGCCCCUUACGCCCUGGGCUGCACAUAUGCUACAAUGGCGUCUACAAAGGGUUGCUAACCUGCGAAGGUAUGCUAAUCUCAAAAAAGACGUCUCAGUUCGGAUUGGAGUCUGCAACUCGACUCCAUGAAGUUGGAAUCGCUAGUAACCGCAUGUCAGCAAUACUGCGGUGAAUACAUUUCCCGGGCCUUGCACACACC